rnacentral:rRNA from 1 species
AUUGAACGCUGGCGGCAGGCCUAACACAUGCAAGUCGAGCGGGGUUUUCGGACCUAGCGGCGGACGGGUGAGUAAUGCGUAGGAAGCUGCCCGAUAGAGGGGGAUACCAGUUGGAACGACUGUUAAUACCGCAUAAUGUCUACGGACCAAAGUGUGGGACCUUCGGGCCACAUGCUAUCGGAUGCGCCUACGUGGGAUUAGCUAGUUGGCGAGGUAAUGGCCCACCAAGGCGACGAUCUCUAGCUGGUUUGAGAGGAUGAUCAGCCACACUGGAACUGAGACACGGUCCAGACUCCUACGGGAGGCAGCAGUGGGGAAUAUUGGACAAUGGGCGCAGGCCUGAUCCAGCCAUGCCGCGUGUGUGAAGAAGGCCUUCGGGUUGUAAAGCACUUUCAGCGAGGAGGAAGGGUGGUGUGUUAAUAGCACAUCAUUUUGACGUUACUCGCAGAAGAAGCACCGGCUAACUCUGUGCCAGCCGCCGCCGUAAAAC